AGCAGCCGCCACGGUAAGACAGAGGAUGCAAGCGUUAUCCGGAAUGAUUGGGCGUAAAGGGCACGUAGGCGGUGAAAAGGGUGGAAAGUGAAAGUCGCCAAAACACUGGCGGGGUGCUUUCUUGACCAUUUCACUUGAGUGAGAUAGGGGAGAGUGGAAUUUCGUGUGGAGGGAUCAAAUCCUAAGAUAUACGAAGGAACGCCAACCGCGAAGGCAGCUCUCUGGGUCCCCACUGACGCUGGGGUGCGAAAGCAUGGGGAGCAAACAGGAUCAGAUACCCCAGUAGUCCCUGUCUCUUAUACC
rnacentral:rRNA from 1 species